rnacentral:misc_RNA from 1 species
CCCUGUAGGAGCUGCCGAAGGCUGCGAUCUUUUGAUUUUUAAGAUCAAAAGAUCGCAGCCUUCGGCAGCUCCUACUCGA